AAUUGUAUUACAUAUGGAUGUACCACAAUACCUGAUCUCGUUUGGUCCCGGAGGCUAAGCAGGGAUUGGCUUGGUUAGUACUGGGACGGGAGACCGCUGGGAAUACCAUGUACUGCAGUGA
rnacentral:rRNA from 1 species